CCUACAGGUGGCUGCAGUGGGGAAUAUUGGACAAUGGGCGAAAGCCUGAUCCAGCCAUGCCGCGUGUGUGAAGAAGGCCUUCGGGUUGUAAAGCACUUUCAGUGGGGAAGAAAGCCUUGGGGCUAAUACCCUCGAGGAAGGACAUCACCCACAGAAGAAGCACCGGCUAACUCCGUGCCAGCAGCCGCGGUAAUACGGAGGGUGCGAGCGUUAAUCGGAAUUACUGGGCGUAAAGCGCGCGUAGGCGGUCUGAUAAGCCGGUUGUGAAAGCCCCGGGCUCAACCUGGGAACGGCAUCCGGAACUGUCAGGCUAGAGUGCAGGAGAGGAAGGUAGAAUUCCCGGGGUAGCGGUGAAAUGCGUAGAGAUCGGGAGGAAUACCAGUGGCGAAGGCGGCCUUCUGGACUGACACUGACGCUGAGGUGCGAAAGCGUGGGUAGCAAACAGGAUUAGAUACCCCGGUAGUC
rnacentral:rRNA from 1 species